UACAGAGGGUGCAAGCGUUGUUCGGAAUUAUUGGGCGUAAAGCGCGUGUAGGCGGCUUUGCAAGUCGGGUGUGAAAGCCCUCAGCUCAACUGAGGAAGUGCGCCCGAAACUGCAGAGCUUGAGUACCGGAGAGGAUGGCGGAAUUCCCCAAGUAGAGGUGAAAAUUCGUAGAUAUGGGGGAGGAACACCGGUGGCGAAGGCGGCCAUCUGGACGGAUACUGACGCUGAGACGCGAAAAGCGUGGGGGAGCAAACAGG
rnacentral:rRNA from 1 species